AUGUAUCAUUUGGCCUGGGCUGUAGUUGAGAAUGAAACAAAUAUAACCUGGAAGUGGUUUGUUGGGCUGCUCUUGAAGGACUUGGAACUAAACAACAAUUGAGCUGGUUGGGUUAUUAUUUCUGAUCAACAGAAGGGUUUGAUAAAUGCAGUGAACGGUUACCUGCCUGAAGCAGAGCAUAGGAUGUGUGCUAGGCUCAUUUAUUCUAAUUGGAGGAAGAAACAUAAAGAUCAUGAGUGGCAAAAUAAAUUCUGGGCAAUUGCUAAGGCUGCAAAUAGGCAAGAUUUUAAUUACUACAAGGCCAAGCUUGCACAGGUGACACCUGAAGGGACUAAGGACAUAAUGAGAACUGAGCCAGUGCACUGGGAUAGGGCCUUUUUCCUAGUUGGUUCAAACUAUGAGCCAGUUGACAACAACCUCUGCGAGUCAUUCAACCAUGCAAUAGUUGAUGCUAGGUUUUAUCCUAUUAUUUCUAUGAAUGAGAAAAUUUGGAAGAAAGUGCUAGUGAGAAAUCAAGAACAGAGAGAGAAGGGUGCCAAGUUUACAGGGAAAAUAUGCCCUGCUGUGUUUAAGAAGCUGAAGAAAAGUAUUGCAAGAACACAAUAUCUAGAGGUGCUCUGGAAUGGAGAAGAUGGAUUUGUAGUGAAACAAAUGGGAGAGGGAGGUAGUACAUAG
rnacentral:rRNA from 1 species